GAUGAAGAACGUAGCGAAAUGCGAUAAGUAAUGUGAAUUGCAAAAUUCAGUGAAUCAUCGAAUCUUUGAACGCACCUUGCGCUCUUUGGUAUUCCGAAGAGCAUGCCUGUUUGAGUGUCAUGAAAAUAUCAACCUUGACUUGGGUUUUGUGCUCUAGUCUCGGCUUGGAAUUGGGUGCUUGCCGCUUUUACGAGCGGCUCACCUUAAAUGUAUUAGCUGGAUCUGUCUUUGAGACUUGGUUUGACUUGGCGUAAUAAGUAUUUCGCUAAGGACAUUCUUCGGAGUGGCCUCGUUUCUAGGACGCUUGUCCGCUUUCCAAUACAAGUUCCACCUCGUGGACAUGACUUUUUAUUAUCUGGCCUCAAAUCAGGUAGGACUACCCGCUGAACUUAAGCAUAUCAAUAAGCGGAGGA
rnacentral:misc_RNA from 1 species